GGAAUCGGUUCUCAACGGCUUUGGCGAGAGGGAGAUGUUUUCCCACAUCAUCCUUAGCGGAAAAAAUAAAUGAAGAGAAUAGAUAACCCCGCCUCGAUACGCAACGCCUCGCCGGAGAUGGUGUUCGCCUGGCUCAAGGAGAAGAGGGCUCGUCCUUCCGUGCCGGUGCGAUGCAACUCGCUCGCUGAAGAACUGUCAGGAUGUCCUGAUGCUUCAGGAAAGAGUCGACGGCACACACGCAGAGGAAAAAAAAAAAAAAAGGCUGCAAAACCUCUGGCAAGGGCACCCACCCUAUAUAUAAUGUAUAAAAAGGUCUCCCGGGUGGGAGUACCUCCCACGGGGAAAAGGCGAUGCUCCAGCUUUUCCUCCAGGACUCGUCCCUAUUUUACCUCCCGACGUGCUUACAGAAAUACGGAACCUCCUGCCGGGUCUCGCAGGGGCUCGGGCGGAAGGUGGCCAUGGCACAAACGGGGCGUCCUCCUGCAAAGGGGUUUCACCCCCCUCCGACCCUGCUGCUGGGUGGGAAGAUGUGGUUCGUGGUUUUUCCCUCGGCCGUACCUCUCCCUGGCUGCGCACCAAACGAAUGUGAAGGUGCCCUGGGCAGCUCGCUGGUUUUGCCGGAAAAUCUCAGGUCGUCUGCUUUUGAACGGGUUUCGACCCUAUUUCUUAAGCAACAAUAGCCUAUUUCCAGGCAGAUGUAACCGCAGCUGUAACUGCGUGCCUCUGAGACAAGCCCCGGGCAGAUUCGUCCAUAUGUGCCGGGAGGACCUCGCGUAAACCUCUGCUGCAACAGUCAGCACCCAAAUCGCUUUGUAAACUGACGUCAGGAGCCGGAGGUGUCGAGAGUGAGAUGUUUAUGGACUGCAGGGACAGAAGGACAUGCCACCUACAAUUUAGAGGGGAAAAAGUAAUGAUUUCUGGAACCCAACCGAAUAUUAAGCCCGGAGAAAUGUGCAAAUAUAAUACUGACAGCGAGGGGUUUAAUUUUACCGACUUUACAAACUCUUAGCAAAUUAGCUCAGCGGGUUUUAAUAGCUGGCAGGCAGUCCCCUUCUUCUCCCAUACUCCUUUUAUGGGGAAAAGCCCGUGUCCUUUGGGGCUGGGAGGCUGCGAUGCGAGCAUUCCUGUAGCCGCUUACAACCGAACGGGAGGAAAUGCUGGGGGCUUGGAUCGGGUGCGCGGGGUGACACGGUUCGGCCCGCUGUUACCACUCGGAGCCGCUGUUCCUGGGAAAACCGACCCAGAUCCCCUUCCUGCUGCUUCACCUUUAGGAUAAAAAGCCAGGGUUUGGCACGCCCGGCACCGAGCAGCGUUUCGCUGUCAGCACUGCGUGGCAGCAUUUCUCCCGAGCUAUCCCACCUUGCAAGACCCCCUGAAGGAAAAAACCGUACGGAUUAUUUACUCCUCGAGCUCUCCAAAAAAAGAGAGAAGAUGCCUUGUCGAUGCCCAGCGCCAUGCCAGGAGGCCCCCGGCAGCUGCACACACCGGGAGCCCCCGCUCACAGCUGUCUGCAGGCAAGACCAUCUCCUGAAAUCAGUCCUCUCCUUGACUCUUUCCUUAUUUUUACGCCGAUUUUCCUAUUGCUCAAGUAAAUGGUUGUAUAUUCCUCGUCUUCUGACGUAUUUAAAUGCAGCCCGGGCAGGAUUAAAUUGAUUUACUAAUAAAAACCAAGCCGUCGUAUUCAAAUGGCCGGAUGCGUCUUGUAGGCAUUAAUUAAAGCUUUUGAAUUUUUCUGGGAAAUAAACGUUGUGAUAUUUAG